rnacentral:rRNA from 1 species
UUCCGGUUGAUCCUGCCGGAGGCCACUGCUAUUUGGAUUCGACUAAGCCAUGCGAGACGUGAGGGUUCGGCCCUCGUCGAACUGCUCCGUAAUACGCAGUCAACCUGCCCUCAGGAGGGGAAUAAUUUCGCGAAAGUGAAGCUAAUGCCCCAUAGGUACUUGGUGCUGGAAUGCUCUUGUACUCAAAGCUCCGGCGCCUGAGGAUGGGACUGUGGGCUAUCAGCUUGUUGGGGAGGUAAAGGCUCCCCAUGGCGAUAACGGCUACGGGCUAUGGAAGUAGGAGCCCGGAGAUGGACUCUGAGACAUGAGUCCAGGUCCUACGGGACGCAGCAGGUGCGCAACCUUUGCAAUGCAUUAACGUGUGACAAGGGAAUCCAGAGUGCUCCAACACUGUUGGAGCUUUUGUUCACUGAAAAUAGGUGGACGAAUAAGGACUGGGAGAGACGGGUGCCAGCCGCCGCGGUAAUACCCGCGGUCCAAGUGGUGGCCGCAAUUAUUGGGCUUAAAGCGUUCGUAGCCGGGUCUAUAAGUCCUUGGUGAAAUCCUGUAGUAGACUACAGGGCGUGCUGGGGAUACUGUAGGCCUUGGGACCGGGAGAGGGUAGGGGUACUCUUGGGGUAGGGGUUAAAUCCUGUAAUCCUGAGGGGACCACCAGUGGCGAAGGCGCCUACCUGCAACGGGUCCGACGGUGAGGGACGAAAGCUACGGGAGCGAA